AUUGAACGCUGGCGGCAUGCCUUACACAUGCAAGUCGAACGGUAACAGCACUUCGGUGGCUGACGAGUGGCGAACGGGUGAGUAAUACAUCGGAACGUGCCCGAGAGUGGGGGAUAACGCAGCGAAAGCUGUGCUAAUACCGCAUACGAUCUACGGAUGAAAGCAGGGGACCGCAAGGCCUUGCGCUCAUGGAGCGGCCGAUGGCAGAUUAGGUAGUUGGUGGGAUAAAAGCUUACCAAGCCGACGAUCUGUAGCUGGUCUGAGAGGACGACCAGCCACACUGGGACUGAGACACGGCCCAGACUCCUACGGGAGGCAGCAGUGGGGAAUUUUGGACAAUGGGCGAAAGCCUGAUCCAGCCAUGCCGCGUGCAGGAUGAAGGCCUUCGGUUGUAAACUGCUUUGUACGGAACGAAAGGUACUUUUCUAAUAAAGAAGGACUCAUGACGGUACCGUAAGAAUAAGACACCGACGUACUACGUGCCAGCACG
rnacentral:rRNA from 1 species